rnacentral:rRNA from 1 species
GGGCCCGCACAAGCGGUGGAGCAUGUGGUUUAAUUCGAUGAUACGCGAGGAACCUUACCAGGGCUUAAAUGCAGAACGACCGGCGUGGAAACAUGCCUUUCUUCGGACGGACUGCAAGGUGCUGCAUGGUCGUCGUCAGCUCGUGCCGUGAGGUGUCGGGUUAAGUCCCAUAACGAGCGCAACCCCUAUCUUUAGUUGCCAGCGGAUAAUGCCGGGACUCUAGAGAAACUGCCAGCGUAAAGCUGUGAGGAAGGUGGGGAUGACGUCAGAUCAUCACGGCCCUUACGUCCUGGGCUACACACGUGCUACAAUGGCAAGGACAAUGAGCUGCCAACCGCGAGGGUGAGC